GAAGGGCAUUGGAAUGGUGAUAUGAUUGGACUUCAGUCAUCUUGUGGGGAGUAACUGUUCUCUUAACCCUAAGUGAUCUUCUACAUUUUUUUUUCCUAAUCACUCAUAGUCAUGAUUUGCUCUUAAUGUUUCACAUGAACAUACACGUUCACAUUUCUCCAUCAGCUUGUCAUCGGUGCCAUUUGGCUCAGCGGCAGCUAACUGCAUUUAGAGUUGUGGCAAGUCCAACAGCAACAACAAGCAGGCCCAAUCCUCUUAUCUCUGCUGUGCGUCGCAGGGACAGUCCAUCUGUCAGUUUGCUUUGCUCUACGCAGGCUGACCACGAGCUCCUAGUAUACCUCCGCCUCCCCCCCACAUCACACUGAGAGGAUGUGGAGCAAAGACACAAUGGAUGCAGAUAUUUCAGGUUGAUGGGGUUCAGUUGAGAGCACCAACAACAUGUUAGAGAUGAAGAGAAGAAGACGAAGAAGUAGCUCACAAGCAGCUUAGAUUUUCCCAGCUGCAUCACUAAUGACAUCAACGACGGAGCUGCCAGAACCCAAAGCCUGAACGUCAGCACGAGGAGGAAGAUGCUGCCGGAGAAAGUGUGUGAGUGUCUCAACAGGGCAGAGAGGCAGACAGACGGAGAUAACGGCCACAUUUUCUCAGAGUAUUAUGAAGUUCAAGUGAAGGAUCGAAGAGGGGAGGCUUUGAUGUGUUUGUUUACAGAAAGGGAGCUCAAGGCCCCUGUUUGACAGUUUCCCUUUUUGACACGCAAGCUUUCAUCAAUCCAACUCCCAUAGGAUUAAACGCAGCAGCAAAAAUGUUCCCCGUGUCCCAGAGUGCCUCUCUCUCAAUUUACGAUCUCCUGAAUAAGAUACAUAGCCUUUGCUAGAAAUGACAGACUUACUGAACACUGACAGUCUCACAAGAGUGAAUAUUGUUUUUAUUGUAGUGAAUAUAUUGCAGCUAACACAACAUACUGCUCAAGGUUAGCAUUCUGUCAUGGAUGGAUGGAAGAGAGACUACGUUACAAAGCAUGUAUCUCUGCGUCAUCAGAAUAAAGAGAACUGCAUACCUCUAUAUGUUUUUGUUUUUAAUAGUAAACCCAAUGAUCCAAAGUCUAAUCUCAGGUAUGAGUUAACAUCCAUUUUCUGUUGGAUUAGAUAAUCUUAUUCUGUGCAGAUUAUAUGUAGGCCUAAUGAUUACUUACUAAUUACUCGUUUGGUAUUUAUUAAUCAUUUAAAUCCCAAUUGAGUUGCAGCUUCUUAAUAAAAAUAUAAAGAAAGAACUUGGAUUAUAAAAUAGUAUAUUUCAAUCAAAGACUAACAGAAAGACUGACUUUUAACUAUUUAUUGUAGUCCUACACUUCACAAAAUUGCUAUUUUGUAGCUUUGUGUGCCUUUUGCUAGAGAUGAGUUUCUCUUUUACGGAAUAAUUUGGAGUGGUUUAUAAGCAAGGAGGAUGAGAACCAAUGUUUCUAUCCUCCUAACUUGAGUAUGACCAUUAAUAGACCUCCAAAUUUGGGAAAUAACUAAUAAUAUAAUUAAAUAAUAAUAAUAUCAAUGGGGAACAAAUGUACCUUAACAGUGACGCACAUCUUGUUGUUGGUCUAAAACCAUAUAAUCUUUAUUUGGUAACCACAAUCCAGCAUCGUUGUAACUAGGGGGCUUCUCAGUGUGAACCAAUAACAAGGAUCUUGAUCAAACAGAGAUUAGUUGAAGUUUGUUAUUAUUUCUCUAUUUCCAUCACCCAAAAGAGUAUUGUACUUGAAGUAAUUGCAGAAUUUAUGUGCAUUUUAUUCUAAACUUUGCAAUUUUGCUGCAUAAUAUUUCAGAGGAAUUUAUUUGAGCUAUAUGUGCGCUAAUAAACCACAGACUGUGGUAGACUCAACUUUAGCAGAAAAUAUGACUACAAGUUGUGUACAUAAAACAAGAUUAUUUUUUUUAUGUUUCCCAUAUAGGUGAAUUACUAUAAUCACCCAGUAAUAAAGAACAUUGCAAUGUCAUUUGUUUAUUUAUGUUAGUACGUCCGUGCAUGCAUGUGUAAAAGAAACUGUGAGGCAGACGGUUGGGCCCUUAGGCUGCUUUUUAUUUGGAGGUGAUCAUCAGAAAGUUAGCUCUACAUCUGUCUGGUGUUUAUCUGUCUUCCCCUCCAUAGAUCUGCCUGCCAGGUCCUUUCUCUCGCUCUUUGGCUCUCUCUUCUCUCAUUUUGUUUCUCUAUUCCCAUUCUAAACCAGCCUGGUGCCAGGCCAACGCCAGCUGCCCGGUGCAGAUGAAGGGAUCUACUCCACAGUGAGCUGAACGUUGGGUCAGCAUGUUCUGAUCUCCCGCUCAAGAAAGUUGAUGUUAACGCGAUCACGUGUGAUACCAGCGAGAGAACACAAUUGAAUAAGCAUCCAUCUGUUUUUCCUGCCCAUCACACUUAUAUCAACUCUAUAUCAGUCGUACCACUCCUCAAUUUUGGGGGAAUGCUUUAGACAGCAGCAAAGCAAUAUCCCAGAUGUUCCAAUGGUAGUAUAACAAAUAUGAACUAAUGAUGGGCCAGUAUUCUGCAGCUCAAUUGGCAGGGCUGGAAGGGUUGCUUAACCCAGAUCAGCAAAGGGCGAGUCAUGAGCAGUAUUAGUGUUUGUGUGUGUCUGUGAUAUAACGUAUUUACUAAGGGAUCAAAUGUCAGUCUCUGUUUUGGACAUAACAAAAUUCUCUGUUUUUCAUAUGUUAUGUAAGUCAUUUUAUUUAGAAGCUGUAAAUCAAACCUUUUGUGUUUGUGUUUGUAUGUGUGUGUGUGUGUGUGUGUGUGUGUGUGUGUGUGUGUGUGUGUGUGUGUGUGUGCGUGCGUGCGUGCGUCCGUGUGUGUGUUACAACGUAUUUUAAGUCUCUGAUUUAAGACAUCAAACGCCAGGAAAAUGUGUGUUCUUUUUGUAGUCUUUCAAUUUUGUGUCAUUUUUUUUACUCAGUGGCUCCAAAUAAAAAAUGUAUGUGGACUGCGGUGUUUGUUUCUCCAGACAGCCGAUAUCUGAUACCGUAUUCAUUGUACUGCAGAGGGUUGUUAGGUCGCACUAACUAUGUCGCUGCAUCCAUUCACCACACCCUCAAUACUUUGGCUUUCUCUCCGAUACAGACUUUAGGGAUGAAUGUAUGAAAAUUACUGGCUGUGAAAACAGAAUGCAUGAGGAGCACUGGACGGAGCAAUAGAAAGAAAAAUAUACUGAACUGACUUUUGCCACAUUUCUUUUGUGCAGUCACUAGCGUGACUAUAGUUUUGAAUUUGCACUGUUGUCUUUUUUUGGGUCCGUAUCUGUUUACUUUUUCCUGCACAGCAAUGACAGUGUAUUAUGUCGCUAUGAAUUGUGUAUGAAAAAAGGAGAAGGUUAGGAAAUGCAACAACCCUCAAGUGAUGCUCCCUUAAUUGAUAUAACAUCAAGGCCAAAGGGACAGUUAUUCUGCACACAUGGCUGUGUUUACCCCCCCCCCCCCCACACACACACACACUAAAUCUUGAUCGAUGGACCUUCCUUCCUUCUCAUUUCUGUGUUAAAUUAUCAAGCAAGCACAGGUUCAGACAAUAGAAAGAUUUACACUUUCUUAUCUUGCACACAAACACACAUGCAUAUGCAUGCAUACAGACACACUUAACCAACAUAAAUAGUGAGAUACCAUCUUUAAAUCUCUUCUGACCAAUGGGUUGGAAAUAGUUUUGUAAUUGUAAAAUCAAGGAUCCUUGGCUUGAAACACUAAUAUCUUUCCCUUACGACAGAUCCCUCCCUUAAACCAGAUGAUCAUUUGCAUUUAGAUUAUGCCUUAAGAACAGAGAAAUUUAAAAUAUAUGUAUUAUUGCCAUGUUGAUCAUUUAGUUUACUUGAAGAGCGUUUGCGGUCUAUGAAGUUUUGCUUUUUUAAAUUAUUACGUACACAAGAAGUAUACUGUUUUUUUCUUUGGUUUUUGAUUUUUCAAAUGAAUUUCUUGUAAUGUAAACACUUCCAUUACAGUAUUUAACAAUGUUAUUAAGUGCAGUGUAUAAAAACCAAUAAACACAAAGCUAAUGGAGCUGUCUAGUUCUAAUUUA